AAUAAUACAAACUAGACUCAAAGCACCCGCUUCCGGCGUGCUUGGCGAACAUUUUUUCCGGAAUAGAGUUAGGUUAAUUUUAUGAUGGAACAUGUGUGUUGCAAAAUACAUGACAAAUGCUCAUUAACUUCCUCUCUCUCUCUUUUGUCAAAAGAAAUUUUUAUUCGUUACCAAACUAAUACAUAAUAAAAAAAUCCCAAAAGUUACAAUAAUAAGGCAAGCCCAUAGAGCUCCAAUGCAAUCCAAAAACAAAAAUUCAAGGCAAUGUCAUCAUAGUAUUAUUAGUAAAAAUAAUCAUAGACUCACUUUUCAACGAUAGAUGUGCAACUACAUUCAAGUGAAAUGAACAUAGUAUCAUCACCGACAAGUAUACAUUGGGAUCUUCAUAUGUAGUUAUAAUUUUGCCUUUCAACGGGAUGUGCUUAGGUUUAGCAUUCUCAACAUAAUUACUAUAUAUUCAUAAAAACUAUGAAAUUGGAGGCGGAUAAUUUAUUCAUUAAAGCUCCUUAACUUGAGGAUGGCACAAAUCAAACGUUUUCUGCCGCAUUAGACAAAUCUCCUGCGCCUUUCGUGUCGGCAUUCGCCUUCCUCACGCCGCUGAACUCGAACUCGACGUUGAUCUUCUCAAAUCUACACCACUUUCUGCGACCGUGAUCCUCAGAGUCGCAAUAGAAGUAGGUGUAGAAAACCACCCCGCUGGUGGCGGCGGCGAGGGCGUGGAAGGCCACGGCCAUACACGCUCCUGUGAGCUGCGAGAAGUGGUAGGCGAAGCCGAACCCGAUCGCGGUGGUGAAGAUCCAGGUGACGAGCUUGAGCACCGCACGCCGCGGCCCCCUGUCCGUGGGGGGCGACCUAUUCAGCUCGGUCAGGCAGUAGUCGAGCAGGAGGUAGGCGAGGUACACGAAGACGAUGAAGACGACCAUGGGGGUGUCGCCGUUGACAGAGGCUCGGUAAAUGGUGCUGACGCUGUUGAUGGUGAGGAAAGCGAGGGGGAUCGAGCAGGGGAGGCCGGAGUGGUCGUCGCCACCGUGGUUACUGACCCCGGCGUCGGACGAGGAGACAGGAAGCCUCUGUCGCCUCUGGGUAUUUGCGUGCGCCAUUUUUCUUCUAAAAAACACGAGAGAUGAGAUUUAUAAAGGUACUCAGCGGAAGUGACGAGUGACGAUAUGGGAUGUGGUUUGACAUGAGGAGCGUCAUUGGGUUUUAUACAAGGGCGGUCAACACGGUCGUCGCGGCUAGACAUUCCCAGAACUUGCGCUGGGGCCAGGACAAUCUCGAGCAAUGCUCCUGGAAAGCUCCCGAGAGGGUACCUUUUCUCUUUUUCUUUUUUUCUUUUUUUCCGAGCGGGGACUUUACUCGGUUUUUCGGUGCGUGUUUUCCAUUGGCAAGGACGAGGAAGCUACCUAAAGCGGCGAGAAUAUAUAAGGUAGUGAUGGCCCAGACCCUACAGAGACAGAGGAAGGAGGCGAAGAACAUAAUUUUGAAGUCUCACCUUCUCACGGAGGGUUAGAAUUAGGACGAUUUUGUUUCAGAAGUGGGUUUCGACUCCUGCUGUUUGUAAGGAGGUAGGGCGAAAAUCUGAAAGUGAGAGUUAGAAUAGAAAUAAAGUAGGACUUGACAAAAAAAAAAAUUCAAAUGUGGAAUCGGAUUCUGCGUGGACGACACGUGUCGAAUUUUAUAUGAUUUUUCAUUUCGCCUGCAGUGUUUCACCUACUUAAUAUUUCCUCGGCUGUACGCAGUCGGCAAAUUAACAGUCCAUCCGUUGAUCAACACGUGUUUAGUGGGCCCAAGUUUUGGAAUUUUCCCAAUCGGUUUCUUUCUUCCAAAAACAGCCUCCCCUUCUCUCUCCUCCGCGUCUUUCUCCGUCUCUUUCUGAAAGGAAAGACCAAGAUCUCGGCCUCCGUCGACCAGCCGGCGACGGAGUAGUCGACGGAGGCCUGCCUCAGCCCCGGCGGCAUGGCCAUCGCCCAGACCAUCCUCACCUAGGACCUCACCGACGAGCUGGCCCUCAUCGACGCCAAGCCCGACAAGCUCCGCCGCGAGAUGUUCGACCUCCAGGACGCCGCCACCUUUCUCCGCCGGACAGCCUCAAUCGCAUUCCGGGGAAGGAGGAGGAGGAGGAGAUCCGAAGGGGGGCAGAGGGGUUUCAGGGGUCUACAGCCGCCUUACCAAUUGGGGGGUAUCCUUGACUUUGUUGAAUUGGAGCUGCCACCGCGGGGUGGAGCGGAACGCCUGGACGCGGGAAGGCUCCGACGACGAUUCCGGCGAGCCGUCGGCAGCAGGAGGUCCGAGGAGGCUGGAGAGGAAGGAGCCCAUGGUUGGCUUGAUUGCUCGCGAUGCCUCGCAGGGUGGGGAGGAAUGAGCAGAAAGGGAAGUCGGAGAGGUUAUCGGUUUUGGAUUAUGGACGGCUGGGAUCUAGGUGUUCGUGUUACUACUUACUAGGCAGCGUCUUGUUGAUUAAAUUAGAGGAGAAUUUUGCCCUAAAGAAAAUUAAAGAAUAAAUGCUAAGAAAAUUAUUGUAAACAUUUCAAAUGUCGAGAUAUAGAAAUUAAAGGUUAUUUGACGAUGACGCAGAAGGGGGUUUGGCUUGGCCACGGCUUUUUUUUUUUUCCUUUCUUUCCUGGGUGUCCGAGCACUUUUGUUUAUUCGAAGGUGGGAUCAGAGGAGAUCUUGUCUUAGUCCAAUGAGUCCUUAAUUAGACCGCCUUUGGUAAUGAUUUUAUCCCUAAGAACAAUUUUUUAUCUGGGAAAUUACCAAAAAAAGUUCUAAAUUUAUUAUAAUUAUGCUAGUUCAGUUCUAAAUUUAUUUUUUUGACUAAUUGAAUCCUAAACCUUUUACAAUUAUUCUUGAUUGGUCCAUCCGACCAAAAUUAGUCGACUGACGCUAGCGACCUUUUUUUCAAUAAUAUUUUAUUCUUUGAAAUGUUUUAUUAUUUUUAUUAAUUUUUUUUUAUCUUUUUUUCCUUUUUUUCUUUUCUAUUCUCCCUCUUCCUUCUUCCUCCCUCCUGCUUCCUUUGGCUCCGACGACCGGCUAGGCUGGCCGGUCGCUAGACUGAGGCGAUUCGGCAAGCUCGUCUCACUAGUAAAAAUUGUCCCAGAUGUGAAAGUGGGUGAAAAAUGAGCAAAACCCUUAAAACCAAAUGGGCCCUAAAUUGAAUUUUGAUUGAAGUUACGAUCGAACCAAUAAACAUGGAAAAAAAAAAAGAGGGGAAAAAUCACAAAUAAAGAUAUGAAGAGGAGUAAAUUUUAGGUUGAAAUGUAUGACGAUAAAUUUGUGGCUAACUAAGAUGUUAAGAUUUGUAUUUGUAGGGAAUGGGAUAUUUCCAUAAUACUAUGUAAACAUCCUAUAUGUUGUAUUAUUUUCAUGAAGUUAGAUAUCAAUAAUUAUGUAGUUAAUUGUUUCAAGAAAAAUGCUUUUAAAAAAUACUACCAAUAUCCCUUCUCAGCCAUGAUUGGAAAAAUUAAAUAUGACCCAAAAUUAGUGAUGAGUCAAUCAAAACCCCACUAUACAAAAAAAAAGAAAAGGAAAAGAGAAAAGAAAAAUAGAAUUAAGGAUAAGGAUGAACAAAAUAGCAAUCGUAAGAAAUUGAUGAAAGUUAUAUUCCGAAUGUGAUUUACAAACUGUCCCAAAUGGUUCUUCUUGGGUUUUCUCCCUCUCCAAAUGCCUCAAGGUCCCGGUCGCUGGACGACAAAUACCUCCUCGCCCCUUUCACGUCGCUUGUCGCCAGGUCCAUCCUAAGCUGGAGGAGGGUCGAUUCCAUCUAACUCUGAGCGUCGUCUUUUUAUAAUUUGACAGUUUCGAUCACUAUAUAAGUGUUGUUGUUUCUUUAUUUUCGCUCCUUUCAUGGCGAGUGACUUUGUCGGGAGAAAUUUCGGAAGAGGCGUGAGGGUUUGCCAACAACUCCAGAUAAAUUUUAGGUAGAAAAACUAUUUCUAAACGGAAAUUGUUCUCCAAAAUAAAAAUAUUACCAAAUGCACUUUUACCUAUGUAUCAAGUUCUCUGGACUCAAGAUAGAUCUUGAGCUUUGUUUUUUACAUGUGAUCAAUGAGUAGAUUUGAAAUCUAAACCAAAAGUAAAAGAGAAUCAACUUCUUUGUCCCCGAAAAUAGAUAUAGAAAAACUAUUUCUAAAUGGAAAUUAUUUUUCGAAAUAGAAAUGUUACCAAACACACUUUCAUCUGCAUAUCAACUUCUUUGUCUCAAUCACUGGACUCAAGUAGAUCUUGAGCAUUGUUUUCUACAAUCACGAGCUUGAUCUUUGCUCAUCAAUUUUCAUUGUUUGAUUCGUAUUUCCUCUUCAGUAUUUUGUUGUUUGAUUCGCGUCCAACUUUUGCAUAAAAUUAGCUCAUCUCGCUACCAAAAUGAGCACGUGACUCACACAUGCAAGUUGAUAGACACUGCUCGAGCUUACAUUUUUUCAUUAUAUGAGACAAGAUCCAUCUUGGAUCGUAUUUUGAGAAAACAGUUCUACUUUGAAAUAUUCACAAAUCAAAAGGAAAUAUUUAUUGUUUGACUUUGGUUUUUGCUUUCCCUCAACGCAAUCUAGGGGUAUCAAAAUUGAAUCGAAAUUUCAUGUAUUUUUGGCUCAUUUUGGGGAAUGGAAAAUUAAAUGUUCUUUUUUCCGAUUUGGUUAAUUGAGCCGAAUUGAAAUUUUGAACAAAAAUUGAACGCUCAACUUAAAAUUUCUCUUCUUUCUCACCCCUUAUUUAGAUUGGUUCCAAUAAACGGGGGUAAAAAAAGGAAAACCGAAAAACUGGACCGAAUUGGGUUCAAUGUCUCAAUUUAGGUCGCGAUUUGGUGCUACUGAUCUUAUCGGUUUGGAUUUCCUAAAAACCCAAACCGUAGACACUCCGAUAAACAAUCUAACUCAAUUGCUAUUAAAUGCUUCAACAAAAGAAAAAUGAUAUUUAAUGCUGAUCUUUUUAUAAAGAAAACAAGUAUUUCAUUGGAUUAUCCAAAGAUGAUGAUUAUUUAAUAAAACUAAAAAAAAUAAGUGCUGAAAUUUUUUUGGAUAUUAAGUGCUAGAGUUUUUAAGCACUGAAAAUAAAAAUAAAAAGUUGCUUGCUAACAUAUCCAAAUUAACUGAUAGAUUACGUCAAAAAAUCAUUUCUGCUAUCUUUUCAAUGACUAAAAACAAUAUAGUAAAAGGAAAUGAUAGGAGGAUGAAUUUGUUUGCUAUUGCAAUGAUAAUUAAAAAAUUUCACCCGGCGCAUAUUUUAAGAAAAAGCGAGCCAUUUUCACUUUCUCCUUUCGCCUUUUUAUCCUUUUUCUUCAGCCGAUUUUACUUUUCUCUUCAAAGUUAAAUUGCAUUGCAACUAAAUAUUAUGUAGAUGAGGGCUACAUGGAAAAUUUUAAAAAGUGAGAGAAAAGUUGGUUUAAAUAUUUUUUUUUAUAUUAAAGUUACAUUCCAUUCAUUUCUACAUAAACACAAGAGAGAAACAUUGCAGUCCAAUUACAAACUAAUUACAUACUAAAAUAAAUUCCAAACAACAUUUAAAAAAAAAAAACUCUAAAUAACAAGAGAAAUCAUCAGAAAAAUGUUAGAAGUCACCCACUCAAAGAACUGAUCUAAUAUUUUUUUCGAACCAAAAUCAACGAUUGACCACCGAAUCUGUCUUCAGUAAUUAGCAUGAACCAAUAUCUCUAUCUAUUGCUAUGGCUUUACCUUUUGUAGAUGCACGCUAGGUUCGACAUUUCCAACACCAUCGUUGUUUAAAGAAAUAUGGUUGAACAAGUAUAGAUUUGACACUUAUGAGAGCGAAAACUUCCCAAAGCUCCUAUGAUCUCCUUUGGAAUUGGACUCGUACACCAAUGAAUCUCAGGGAAGUGAAAACCUGAAAUCAUACACACAAAAUCCUCAAAUCUAGACUAACGAGAGAGAGAAGCUUCCAAAUUUAGACUAGAUCAGAAGAGAAAAGCUCCACAAAGCGAGAGGAAAGUGAGAAAAAGAGAAUAGAGAACCAAAUCAACCAAAGAAAAAGGAAAAAAAAAAGGAAGGAAAGGAAGAGGUUUAGCUCAAACACUCCUUUACAUAGAGGUUGAAAAAGAAAUAUGAGUGAAAAUUAGAAAGAAAGGAGAAAAUCCCAAAAGAGAGAGACGAACUUUCGAAGCGCCACUCGAUUAUUUGGUGAAGCUUGGUGUAAACAGUGACUGGUUUGAUUAUGUUUCAAAUGAGUGACGUUAAAUCCGUGCAAACCUAAGAUUCGAUUAUCAAGCCAAGUUCCUAAAAAAAGCAUACAAUUGCAAUCCUCUCUCCAUAAUGAAUAAGCUUAAGAAAAGGGUAAUGAGAGGAAGAUGGCACCGUCAACUCAGUUGGCGGUGGAGUCUGCAUCUCUCAUUUUCCCUAGGAAACGGGAGAACUAGCUCGUCUAGUUUCCCAAGGAUUGUUGGUUUCUUUCUUUUUCUUUUUUCUUUUUUCUUUUUAGCUUUUUAUUCCUUCUCUUUUCUUUUCAUUUUUGCCAGGUACUCUUGAUAGUUAUCUAAUCCCAUUUCUAAUCCCAUUUCGAGCUUUCUCUUCUCUUUGACCCCUUAAAUGCUGUCUCUGCAAUUGCAACUUCUAGGCUUUAUUUAUUUUUCCCAAUUUCCCCAUCUGCGACUAUGACUGAGUGAUGGGCAGGACAGCACUAGCAGAGUAAGUGCUGCUGCAAAGAGAAGAAGAAGAUUUUUCAUCCUUUUAUUAAUUGCCAAAUUUUCAAAAACUAGUUUCCUUUUAAAAAUUCACGACACAUGAAAACACACAAAAAUUCUUCAAUAUGCAUCUAAUGUAGGUAUGUCUUUUUUUUUAACCCACUGACGCAAUUUUAUGAAAUUUUAUGUAAUAUUCUGAUAAAUCAUUUGAAUUUUGUGCUUAGAGACAUUUUUAAAUAAAAUAUUUUUUAAACAUAUUAUGAACAGGGGAUCUGUACCAUUUAAUAAGAUAUGGCAUUUAGAUCGGGACGCAUUAUUUGUUAAAUAAUCAAUGUGUUAUGCUCUAAUUGAUCAUUCCAAUGUUAUUGAUUAUGGCAGGCAUGCUAUAAAUGGUUUUUUUUUUAUUGUGAAAAUUUCAUUCUUUGGGUGGGGAGUACAUAUAUGAAAGCAAUAUUUCUAUGACUGUAGCAAAAUUAUUUACACAUAACCUAAACUAAAACUUUAAGUGAAAAAAAGAAGAAAAAAGGGCUAAAAUACUUUACCAUUCGGUAGCUACUCUCUGUCAAAUUGAAAUAUGUGGGUGGGGGAGUUCACUGUUAUUCUUGAGAAUAACGGUGAUCGUCAGCCUAGCGGGACCCUUACGAAAAUAUAGUACUCUUUUGCUCGGACGAAGAAAAAAACUGCCUAAUUCAUCAACGGAAAUUUUCGCGAAAUUUUACUCCACACGAAAAUAAAAUUUUAUGAAAAAUAUUUAAGACCCUCACAAACACACGUCUUUCAAAGUACAUGACAAACGCCCAGGACAAUACUCUUCCACUUCCACUUAGUUAGUUACGUAAUCCCCCGCCCACUAUGGUCUUUAUUAUGUAUGAAAGCCGGACUUAGUUGUAAUGCUGCAACGUUCUAAUAAUGAAUGGUAUUCAUCAACCAAAAAAAAAAAAAAGUACAUGCCAAACGCUCUUUCAUAUCAUUAUAAAUAUCCUGUAAGUUUAUCACCAUAAAUACAAUACAAACCAUUGCAUUCCCCUUCUCAAUAUUAAAAAUUGCAAUAGUUAAUCGAGAUAUGUUUUUGAAAGGACCCUCUCAAGACGAUGGCACAAAUCAGACGUUUUCCGCCGCAUCAGGCACAUCUCCGGCGCUCUUCGCGGUGGCACUCGCCGUCUUUGCCCUGCCGAACACGAACUUGACAUCAAUCUUCUCGACCUUACACCCAUUUCCGCGGCCGCAAUCCCCGUGGUCGCAAUAGAAGUAGGUGUAGAAAACCACCCCGCUGGUGGUGGCGGCGAGGGCGUGGAAGGCCACGGCCAUACACGCGCCCGUGAGCUGCGAGAAGUGGUAGGCGAAGCCGAACCCGAUCGCGGUGGUGAAGACCCAGGCGACGAGCUUGAGCGCCGUGCGACGCGGCCCCCUGUCAGUUGGGGGCGACCUAUUCAGCUCGGUCAGGCAGUAGUCGAGCAGGAGGUAGGCGAGGUACACGAAGACGAUGAAGACGACCAUGGGGGUGUCCCCGUUGACGGAGGCUCGGUAGAUGGUGUUGACACUGUUGAUGGUAAGGAAAGCGAGGGGGAUCGAGCAGGGGAGGCCAGAGUGGUCGUCGCCCCCGCCGCCGC
rnacentral:lncRNA from 1 species